AAGUCUGUGUGUAUGGUCGUCAAAUGAUUUAAUUCUGAGCAACAACACAGCAGACGGUCAAUCAGGAAGUCUGUCGUGUUGUGACUGGCUCUCGUCAGUGGAGAGCCAAUGAUAUAACAUCAUGUGACAUGCUUACAGCCAAUCACCAUUCGACAAAUGUAACCACUUAACCAAUAACAGGUCUCUCAGCCCAGAAGCUACCUUAUCAAAAUAAAGAGAGGUCAUGCAUUGCUGGAGUCUUGAAGUCUGGGCCGAUAGAGUAAAACAUCCGAAACUAGUUAAUCAUAAGAUAUGAUUGCUGGACAGUGUCAAGGUAGAAGAGA